GAGUUUGAUCCUGGCUCAGGACGAACGCUGGCGGCGUGCCUAACACAUGCAAGUCGAGCGGAGAUAAUAGUAAUAUUAUCUUAGCGGCGGACGGGUGAGUAACGCGUGGGCAACCUGCCUUUCACAGGGGGAUAACACAGGGAAACUUGUGCUAAUACCGCAUAACACAACGAGAUAGCAUUUUCUUGUUGUCAAAGGAGCAAUCCGGUGAUUGAUGGGCCCGCGUCCAAUUAGCUAGUUGGUGGUGUAAUGGACCACCAAGGCGACGAUUGGUAGCCGAACUGAGAGGUUGAUCGGCCACAUUGGGACUGAGACAC
rnacentral:rRNA from 1 species